rnacentral:rRNA from 1 species
CCUACGGGGGCAGCAGUGGGGAAUAUUGGACAAUGGGGGGGACCCUGAUCCAGCCAUGCCGCGUGUGUUAAGAAGGCCCCCGGGUUGUAAAGCACUUUCAGUGAGGAAGAACGCCUGGUGGUUAAUACCCAUCAGGAAAGACAUCACUCACAGAAGAAGCCCCGGCUAACUCCGUGCCAGCAGCCGCGGUAAUACGGAGGGUGCGAGCGUUAAUCGGAAUUACUGGGCGUAAAGCGCGCGUAGGUGGCUUGAUAAGCCGGUUGUGAAAGCCCCGGGCUCAACCUGGGAACGGCAUCCGGAACUGUCAAGCUAGAGUGCAGGAGAGGAAGGUAGAAUUCCCGGUGUAGCGGUGAAAUGCGUAGAGAUCGGGAGGAAUACCAGUGGCGAAGGCGGCCUUCUGGACUGACACUGACACUGAGGUGCGAAAGCGUGGGUAGCAAACAGGAUUAGAUACCCCGGUAGUC